rnacentral:rRNA from 1 species
GACGAACGCUGGCGGCGUGCUUAACACAUGCAAGUCGAACGAUGAAACCUAGCUUGCUAGGUCGAUUAGUGGCGAACGGGUGAGUAACACGUGACUAACCUGCCCCUUUCUCUGGGAUAACGCUCCGAAAGGAGUGCUAAUACCGGAUACUCACACCGCGGCACAUGCCUUGGUGUGGAAAGUUUAUCGGAAAGGGAUGGAGUCGCGGCCUAUCAGCUUGUUGGUGAGGUAACGGCUCACCAAGGAGACGACGGGUAGCCGGCCUGAGAGGGCGACCGGCCAGACUGGGACUGAGAGACGGCCCAGACUCCUACGGGAGGCAGCAGUGGGGAAUAUUGCACAAUGGGAGCAAGCCUGAUGCAGCGACGCCGCGUGAGGGAUGAAGGUCUUCGGAUUGUAAAGCUCUUUCGGCCGGGAAGAAAUCGCACAGGCUAAUACUCUGUGUGGAUGACGGUACCGGCAUAAGAAGCACCGGCUAAC